UACGUAGGGGGCUAGCGUUGUCCGGAUUUAUUGGGCGUAAAGAGCGUGUAGGCGGCCAGGUAGGUCUGCUGUGAAAACUCGAGGCUCAACCUCGAGACGUCGGCGGAAACCAUCGUGGCUAGAGUCCGGAAGAGGAGAGUGGGAAUUCCUGGUGUAGCGGUGAAAUGACGCAGAUAUCAGGAAGAACACCCGUGGCGAAGGCGGCUCUCUGGGACGGUACUGACGCUGAGACGCGAAAGCGUGGGGAGCAACAGG
rnacentral:rRNA from 1 species